AGUCUAUGGACUCGACUCUUGCACAUCUACGUCUUAGGUUUGCGCCAAUUCGUGGUAAGCUUGGGUCAUAGAGACUCAUAGGUGUUAUAAAGACUCGCUGGUGUUUGUCUCCUUGAGGCAUACGGCUUUAACCAAAACUCUCAAAGUUUGACCUCAAAUCAGGUAGGAGUACCCGCUGAACUUAAGCAUAUCAAUAAGCGGAGGAAAAGAAACCAACCGGGAUUGCCUUAGUAACGGCGAGUGAAGCGGCAAAAGCUCAAAUUUGAAAUCUGGCGUCUUCGACGUCCGAGUUGUAAUUUGAAGAAGGCGACUUUGUAGCUGGUCCUUGUCUAUGUUCCUUGGAACAGGACGUCAUAGAGGGUGAGAAUCCCGUGUGGCGAGGAUCCCAGUUAUUUGUAAAGUGCUUUCGACGAGUCGAGUUGUUUGGGAAUGCAGCUCUAAGUGGGUGGUAAAUUCCAUCUAAAGCUAAAUAUUGGCGAGAGACCGAUAGCGAACAAGUACAGUGAUGGAAAGAUGAAAAGAACUUUGAAAAGAGAGUGAAAAAGUACGUGAAAUUGUUGAAAGGGAAGGGCAUUUGAUCAGACAUGGCGUUUGCUUCGGCUUUCGCUGGGCCAGCAUCAGUUUUAGCGGUUGGAUAAAUCCUCGGGAAUGUGGCUCUGCUUCGGUAGAGUGUUAUAGCCCGUGGGAAUACAGCCAGCUGGGACUGAGGAUUGCGACUUUUGUCAAGGAUGCUGGCGUAAUGGUUAAAUGCCGCCCGUCUUGAAACACGGACCAAGGAGUCUAACGUCUAUGCGAGUGUUUGGGUGUAAAACCCGUACGCGUAAUGAAAGUGAACGUAGGUGAGGGCCCGCAAGGGUGCAUCAUCGACCGAUCCUGAUGUCUUCGGAUGGAUUUGAGU
rnacentral:rRNA from 1 species